rnacentral:rRNA from 1 species
GACGAACGCUGGCGGCGUGCUUAACACAUGCAAGUCGAACGGAAAGGCCCUGCUUUUGUGGGGUGCUCGAGUGGCGAAAGGGUGAGUAACACGUGAGUAACCUGCCCUUGACUUUGGGAUAACUUCAGGAAACUGGGGCUAAUACCGGAUAGGUGCUCCUGCUGCAUGUUGGGGGUUGGAAAGUGUCGGCGGUUGGGGAUGGACUCGCGGCUUAUCAGCUUGUUGGUGGGGUAGUGGCUUACCAAGGCUUUGACGGGUAGCCGGCCUGAGAGGGUGACCGGCCACAUGGGGACUGAGAUACGGCCCGGACUCCUACGGGAGGCAGCAGUGGGGAAUAUUGCACAAUGGGCGGACGCCGGAUGCAGCAACGCCGCGUGCGGGAUGUCGGCCUUCGGGUUGGAAACCGCUUUCGCCGGUGACGAAGCGUGAGUGACGGUAAUGGGUAAAGAAGCACCGGCUAACUACGUG